rnacentral:rRNA from 1 species
UGGUGGGUAGUUUGACUGGGGCGGUCUCCUCCUAAAGAGUAACGGAGGAGCACGAAGGUUGGCUAAUCCUGGUCGGACAUCAGGAGGUUAGUGCAAUGGCAUAAGCCAGCUUGACUGCGAGCGUGACGGCGCGAGCAGGUGCGAAAGCAGGUCAUAGUGAUCCGGUGGUUCUGAAUGGAAGGGCCAUCGCUCAACGGAUAAAAGGUACUCCGGGGAUAACAGGCUGAUACCGCCCAAGAGUUCAUAUCGACGGCGGUGUUUGGCACCUCGAUGUCGGCUCAUCACAUCCUGGGGCUGAAGUAGGUCCCAAGGGUAUGGCUGUUCGCCAUUUAAAGUGGUACGCGAGCUGGGUUUAGAACGUCGUGAGACAGUUCGGUCCCUAUCUGCCGUGGGCGCUGGAGAACUGAGGGGGGCUGCUCCUAGUACGAGAGGACCGGAGUGGACGCAUCACUGGUGUUCGGGUUGUCAUGCCAAUGGCACUGCCCGGUAGCUAAAUGCGGAAGAGAUAAGUGCUGAAAGCAUCUAAGCACGAAACUUGCCCCGGGAUGAGUUCUCCCUGAGACUUAGAGUCUCCUGAAGGAACGUUGAAGACGACGACGUUGAUAGGCCGGGUGUGUAAGCGCAGCGAUGCGUUGAGCUAACCGGUACUAAUGAACCGUG